AGGAUAGAGGUGCGGUUUUAAUCAGUAGGGUUUUCCAAGGCCUGCCAGGGCCGGUGAGGAAAACCGGAAAGGUAACGCCGCCGAAGGUGUCCGCUUGGCAGGCGGCCCUGGUUGCCGGCAUGAAGAAUACGGCAACUGUCAUCAUUUUGGUAUGAUGGAGCGCUAUC
rnacentral:ncRNA from 1 species